CGCAUCUGUGCAUGCAGCAUAUCAAUAAGCGGAGGAAAAGAAACUAACAAGGAUUCCCCUAGUAACGGCGAGUGAAGCGGGAAGAGCUCAAAUUUGAAAUCUUAAAGGGUUUCCUUUACGAAUUGUAGUUUAAAGAAGUGUUUUCUGUUGAGGUUUUGGUAAAAGUUCUUUGGAAUAGGACAUCAUAGAGGGUGAGAAUCCCGUAUUUGACCUUUACUUUCAACUUUGUGAUACACUUUCAAAGAGUCGGAUUGUUUGGGAAUGCAGUCCAAAAUGGGUGGUAAAUUUCAUCUAAAGCUAAAUAUUGGCGAGAGACCGAUAGCGAACAAGUACCGUGAGGGAAAGAUGAAAAGAACUUUGAAAAGAGAGUUAAACAGUACGUGAAAUUGUCAAAAGGGAAGCGUUUGACACCAGUGUUGUUUUUCUGAAAAUCAAUUAAAGAACUGUUUAUGCUAAGUUGUUUAGACUUUAUCAGCUAACUGUUUAGUUUUGAGCUUUUCUUUAAUGCACUUUUCAGUUAACAAGUCAACAUCAAUUUCUUUUGCUGUAAAAAAGCUUGAGGAAGGUGGCUUGAGAUUCGUCUUAAGUGUUUAUAGCCUCUUGCCUAUGCAGUCGGAGAGAUUGAGGUCUGCAGCGUAGAUCCUUCGGGGCUAAAUGCAUUUGUGCUAAGUUAUAGCAUUUUAUAGACAACUUGUUGACUAUGAUUUGUCUUGUAGCUUACUCGCUUAUGUUAUUUUACCUACGCUUAGGAUGUUGAACGCGCACAGAGUCUC
rnacentral:rRNA from 1 species